UGUCGCCUGAACGCCAUUUUAUACUGUGUCAUAUGCGGGGUUGUUUUGUUGAGUUGUUUUGUCUUGUUUUAUUUUAAAUAUUUUGUAAUAUUGAGUUCUACGUGUAAAAAUAAAAAUGCAAAAAUAUAUAGUAUACAUAUGGCGUAAACUUUACAUAUCUGCUUAUGUGUUAUUUGUUCAGCAACGUCGAAAUCGAAAGAGUAUAAGAAAUAACCUCAAAAUAAAUUCUAAGAAGUACUGUUUGAUAUAAUAUUAUGAAGGGCCCGCGUUUGGAGAUGUCUCAAAAAAACUAGAGCUUAUUAUUUGGAUAUGAAAAUUUAGUUUUGGACAAUGCUACAAGAUACUAAAGGAUUGGAUUCUAAGUCUCGGUUUGAAUCCUAAAUUGCCUCGAAUGACAUAUGUGUAUAAUAUGAAAGAAUAUCGAGAGGCUUUUAACAGCAAAACAAGGAAUAAAUGAAAGGUGGAAUAGUACAUACUGAAUGGGCUACAAUGGAAUUAAGACAAAUUGUGAAUAUUGAGAAUGAAGAUGUUGGAAGUAUCUCGAUAAAAAAAAUUAUCAAAGCUUAAUAAUGCUCAACUAUAAUUCUAAUAGUUGUAUUGUUUGUCUGCAAAAAAAUAUAAUUGUAUUUGAAAAUUGUCAUCCUAAUUUGGAAUUAUGUAAUAAAGUUUCUGUAUAUUAGUGUGCCGAGAUAGCUUGAUUAGCUUUAAUAG